rnacentral:rRNA from 1 species
UACGUAGGGUGCGAGCGUUGUCCGGAAUUACUGGGCGUAAAGAGCGCGCAGGCGGUCGUUCAAGUCGCGUGUGAAAGCCCCCGGCUCAACUGGGGAGGGUCACGCGAUACUGAUCGACUCGAAGGCAGGAGAGGGUAGUGGAAUUCCCGGUGUAGUGGUGAAAUGCGUAGAUAUCGGGAGGAACACCAGUGGCGAAGGCGACUACCUGGCCUGUUCUUGACGCUGAGGCGCGAAAGCGUGGGGAGCAAACAGG